rnacentral:lncRNA from 1 species
GGGUGACCCAACUUGAUAUACUGACUUAUAAAUAUGACGUACUGGCCUAUAAGGCCAUACCAGUAUCUGUAUACAUGACAUCUAUCUACAAGUCUCUAAGAGUACAUAAAUAUCAUAAAGGUCGAGACAGAGUCCUGCCAUACCAAUCAAUACACAUUUAAAUCAGACUGACCAAAUAGGCAACUCCAAAGCAAGUGGAGUGCACACACACCUUCUGCUGAGCUGAUAGCCUACUAGGAGAACUCUCAACCUAUCAAUCGGGACCUGCGAGCAUGAAACACAACGUCCCCAGGCAAAAAAGGGAUGUCAGCACAAAUAAUGUACCGAGUAUGUAAGGAAUGAAAAUUAAUAAAUAAUAGACAUGAGAAAAACAUGGAGUAAAAGACUCGACAUAUAUGCCUGAAUAACUCUAUGAAUCAUUAAUAUUUACAAUGUCAUGCAUAUGCGUAUAAAUAUCAUACCAUGUUUAGGUAUAUGCGUUCAUAACAUCAUCAAGCCUCUGAAGGCAUCCCAUCAUAUCAUCUCGGCCACUGUGGGCAAAUCAUCAAUGUAUACCAGCUGAUCAAGUGGUGGUGCGUAUAUAACGCCAUAACAUUUUUCCAUAUCCCAUAUACAUAUAAUAUACGCGUAUAUAAUGCCUUCUGGUCAUGGGUCAAUGUACAUGUAUAAAUGCAUGAAAUGCAUAAAAAAUACGUUAAUAAGAUUUCUCGAAUAUCAUAAAAUUAAUAUACCUUUCGGACAAACUUUAUAAAAUACGUAUUUUUCUGAGACCCAUGAAUAGAUGAUAUAAUAAUAAUUCACAUGGGGAAUCAAGAAUGUAGACACCCCUAGUAUUUCUAUAAAUAGAGUCAUUUAUGAAAGUUGUGUAUUUUGCUCGUUUCGUUUGUAUCAUUUGGAUCAUGCUAAAAAGAAAGAGGGGAUAGCCUUAACAUACCUGGAGUAGGAAAAAGUCCGUAUAAUAUUCUUGAGAAAGACUGCAUCGUACUCCCUUAGAAUUGCAAAAUCCAGUUGCUAUUAUAAUAUGGAGUUUCGUAUGAAUUUUCAAAUUCCCUCACCUUCGUUCUUGGCUUUGCCUUUCUGUAUAACUCCCUUACCAAAUGAAUUUGCUGAAGAUGCUAAAAUUCUCACGU